UCGGGCAGGGUGGUGUCUCCUCGGGCAGGAUGGUGUCUCCCCGUCAGGAUGGUGUCACCUCGGGCAGGGUGGUGUCUCUGAGGGCAGGGUGGUGUCUCUGAGGGCAGGAUGGUGUCUCUGAGGGCAGGAUGGUGUCUCUGAGGGCAGGAUGGUGUCUCUGAGGACAGGGUGGUGUCUCCUCGGGCAGGGUGGAAUACACAGUGCUGUGUCGUCACACUGACUGCGCUCCUAGAGAAAAUGUAGCAAUAAUGUAAGGGGAGACGGCCGAUUCUGUCUAGCAAACAAAGUUACAAUGAAUCAAUCGCCACAGUGAGAUGGACAGUGUCUAAAUAAAGCUUCUCUUUAUUAUUAUUAUCAUAAGAGCUAUGAUGCAAAUGGGGAAUAUUAAGCCUGCGGUGGCAUCUGUACGCGCAGAUUCUCUGAGUCGACUGCUGGGUUUCCUGACUGAUGAUUCGAAUCAUAGACUUUCAGCGGACAGCCCUAGAGUCAAGUAUGCUAAAUGUAGCCUCCAAGAAAACAUAAAAUUGUCCAAGAAUUAAAAGGCAGACUGCAAUCACAGCCUCAUCAUAUGUUUACGAAAGCUACAGCCCAAAAUGAUACAGUAGUGAAAGCUAGAUUUAUUGUGGCUGAAGAAAUCUCAAAGCUUCAAAGUGGUCUUCAAAGGGGGCAUUUCUGAAUCAGUGCAUAAUUAAGGUGUGUGAGCAGGUAUACCCCAAGAUACAGACUUUUUUGAAUGUCAGUUUGUCAAGAAACACCAUCACAGACCGAGUUAAAGAACCAUCCGGCAAUCUUACCCUACAGCUGGCCGAGGAGACGCAAUUAUCGAUGUUAUAACGAUGGUAUAACGAUGUUAUAAUAGCACAGUACAAAUGUAUGUUAUUGCAUGUACAAUACUUGGACACAUGAAUAAACAAUAAUCAAAUGCAAAGACAGUAAUUUAACAAUAUGUUAAGGAACAGUUACAUUUAUGUAGUCUUACUGUUACAAACGGCCCUACUGUCUAACCAUUUACUGCGCCUGAAUGACCUUUCUCUGUACUGUCUAACCCCUACCUUCUCCUUAAUGACCUGUCUCUGUACUGUCUAACCCCUACCUUCUCCUUAAUGACCUGUCUCUGUACUGUCUAACCCCUACCUUCUCCUUAAUGACCUGUCUCUGUACUGUCUAACCCCUACCUGCUCCUUAAUGACCUGUCUCUGUACUGUCUAACCCCUACCUGCAACUUAAUGACCUGUCUCUGUACUGUCUAACCCCUACCUUCUCCUUAAUGACCUGUCUCUGUACUGUCUAACCCCUACCUGCUCCUUAAUGACCUGUCUCUGUACUGUCUAACCCCUACCUGCUCCUUAAUGACCUGUCUCUGUACUGUCUAACCCCUACCUGCAACUUAAUGACCUGUCUCUGUACUGUCUAACCCCUACCUGCUCCUUAAUGACCUGUCUCUGUACUGUCUAACCCCUACCUGCUCCUUAAUGACCUGUCUCUGUACUGUCUAACCCCUACCUGCACCUUAAUGGCCUGCCUCUGUACUGUCUAACCCCUACCUGCUCCUUAAUGACCUGUCUCUGUACUGUCUAACCCCUACCUGCUCCUUAAUGACCUGUCUCUGUACUGUCUAACCCCUACCUGCUCCUUAAUGACCUGUCUCUGUACUGUCUAACCCCUACCUGCUCCUUAAUGACCUGUCUCUGUACUGUCUAACCCCUACCUGCUCCUUAAUGGCCUGCCUCUGUACUGUCUAACCCCUACCUGCUCCUUAAUGGCCUGUCUCUGUACUGUCUAACCCCUA